CCCACAGGCCAGCACAGCCUUCUGCAUUUAUUUCUAUCAGUGUAUCAGCCAGCUGACCUAGGAGUUGAAAGCUGCUGCCCAUCUGCAGAGAACAGCGUGUCCUCAGCAGCCACCAAGGGGACGUGGAGCUCCUGGGGGAGAUAUGCAGGUUGCAAGGUGCCUGAGACUGCUGGCUUGUAGGGCACGGAGCACAACGGGACAAGUCGAACCUGGCUGUCAAGCAGAGACGUGUAUUGGUGCUUGUCCACAACAGCUGAGGGAUCCAGGCGCAGAGCCAGCAGUGAAAAUGUGAGGCCUGACGACGUGUGAGUGAACUGUGUCAGGUCAGGAAGAAGAGAUGUUUCCUUCUAGACUGGACUAAAAUGCAUUAAAAGGAGAAAUGAGUCUUUGAAAGCGUGGCCCAGGCAGAUUCCCCCAGUGUGGCAGGAAAAACCCACUGAAAAACUUCUGAUUUACCACUUUUGGCAGCAAUUAGAGGCAGAAUGUAAAACACGGGUGAUCCUAAGCAGAAUUAGACAGCGGGGUGCUGGCAGCACAGUGCCGCCCAUGCUGGCCAGCGUGGGGUCCUCCCUGCGACCCUACAACAAAGCAACAGCAGGAAGCGGUGUGGUGCUGGCCGUGGCCCUGAUUGGCAACAAAAACACAGAAGCCUUUUUAAUAUUGCAAAGACAGAAAUUAAAUCCUCCUCUUACGCAAUGCUUGCCCUUCCUCAGCAGGGAUCAAAUCAAUAUGGGACCGUGCAAAGUCAAUGGUUUAUUUCAAGGGGUUUUGAAUUGGGCUUUGUAGCAAAGAAGCACCAGCCUUGUUUCAAGCUCCAUGAAGAUGCAUCAGUGUUUCCAUUCCAUGUCUAUUUGUAAGACAGAAACGUGACUUUGUUCCUCUUUAGUCCUUAAUGUUACACUAUUUUAAAAUAAAGUCUGUCGGAAAAAGGAAUCAAGCCUAAGGCUGGAAUUAUCCCUAGUGAAGCUUGGGGACCGCACUUGUUAGAAAGUGAGGAUGACCUUCAGGUGAGUUAAGAAUGCUCUGGUAGCACCAACUUUGCAUUUCCUCAUGCUUUCUUCUGGCUUACCUGAGUACUUUAGUAUUACUUCAGUGGUUGCAGUUUAAGCACACCCAAAGGUGCACACGUGUACACAUAACACAGCUCCCAAACAGCUCCGUGUUAGCAGUUCACUGCAUGCCUUCCUGGAGGACCUCCACAGCAGUAGAAGCAGAACUUGCACAUUAUUUCUGGAGAAAAGCGACAAUAGCAGGCCUGCUUACAUAACUGAUUUACUCCAACAGAAUUGCUUUCUGCCUUUAAUCUGCUCAGCAGUUUAUCUUUGCUGUCGUGAUCGGUUGAGCUUUCUUUAAACCGUUAUGGAUUAGCAUUCUGCUAUAACACGUUAAAAGCUUAGCUUUGUUUAUUUUUGUCGGGAAUGGGGGAGGGAUAUCAGGUUCAAAUGUUCAGGCAGCAGUUUGUGAACAGUUACUUUUCCUACACCAAAUUCAGGUACCAAAUGCAAAGCACAGCCAAAUAGAGGCUGGAACAAAAAUAUUUGUGAAUUCAUUAAAAAGAAAGAAACAAGGAACUUCAUAUAUUUGCAUAAUUAUUUUACUCCAUGAAUAUAAAAUGUAAUCCAGCAUUCAAAAAGUUCAUCACACCCACCAGCCUUAUAUGGAAGACUGAAGAGUAAAUGGAAGAGUAAAAGUCUAAAACCUUACUAAAUAAAGCUGGUUGAUGAUUUUACUAAGUUUGCAUUAUUGUUGCAAUUUGGAGACAGAAAUCCUGCCGAAAGCAACACUUUUGUCAUUCAGCCGCAGGAAUAUAACACACCAUAAUGCACAAAUAACACCAAGCAAACUGAACCUCAGCCACACUGCUUACAAAAAGCUGUUUGGGUAACAUUAACCAGCCAUUCAGUGAAUUUUCACAGUGGACUCAUCAACAAUGACAGCUGAUGAUCUAUUAGAAGAUUACAGUGCAAAUCCAGGUCCAAAUUUCUACUACAAAUCGAUCACAAUCUACUAUUUUAAUCCAAAUCCAACAAUUAGCACGCUUAUUUGACCUCUGUGUAACGGAAAUGAUUUGCAGAUGCCAGAACGGAGUAAGAGGCUGUGCUCCUGAGCGCUGCCAAUAACCCUCUGUGCAGCUGAACUCUGCUCCAAGGAAACACUGAUUCUGUGAUCAGCCAUGCUGGCAAACACAUGACCUUGCAACUUUCAUAUCUAAAACGAAGCAAGGAGGCACUUUCACAUUCCUAAGAAAAAUGCACACACUAGUUAGUGAAAGUGUGUUAAAGAGAAGAUCUUUUUUUUUUAAAAAAGUAUCUAGUGGUGCUCAGAAAAAAUAAAAACAUAAAACGAGGAAAGUAAUUCAAUAAAGAGGAGGAAAAAAA